CGUACUUACUAGCCAUCAGAGCACAAUAUGAAGGCAAAAUGGAAUUGCCCCUCGAUAUGGUGAGUUUUUUUCCUUCUAUCUGCCCGACUAUAAAUCGUGAUACAUUGUCUAUCAAGAUAUGAUGGUCUCAGAAACGGAACAGAAGUGAUUGUGCCGGUCCUGUUUUUGUCUGAGACUGAGUCAAUGUUGAGGGUGGGAAAGAGGGGGUAUGGAUCACGUUUCACUCAACAAAAAAAAGGUCGUUUCACGAUUCACGUGUCUUAAAAAAGCAAUUUCACGGAAAACUAGAUUCUAAUAAAGUAAUAUAAUAAUGAUAGGUUUAUUAAGAGUAUGUUUAGGUACAGUAUCUACGCUUUAAGUUCUCUCGCUUCUCUACCUGUCAGUUAAAAACUACAUCAUAACUUACAAGUUUGAGUGACGAACAUGUACGACGACCUCCGAAAGGUCUCCGAAGUUUUUACUCUUGUGCAAUCGAGUGAGAUCAUAUAAAUUGAUUAUCGCGUAUCAUGUUUAUUAUGACUAUUAUAAAAUAGAUCGAAAUAAACAAAGCAAAAUCACAGUUCACGAAACAGACAUCCUUAAUUCUCAUUUCACGGAGGAUUUUUAUCGACAAUCACGCCUCACGGCCGUAGAACAAAUCACUUUUCACGACACUAAAAUCAAGCAUUUCACAUUUCACGCGAACAAAUAUUGACCAUUCACGGCUCACGAAAAUACCCUUUCCCACCCUCUAUGUUAAUUUGUGCAAGGUCACGGUGAUUGAGCUCAUGAUGAAACGUGCAACCACGAUGAAUAAUAUUUAUAAAUGAAGUUGAGACAAAGGAUGUGUGCACGGUGACUAGGUACAGUUCAACAUCAAACAAAGGCUUUCUAUUUUGUGGUUUUGAAGUUUGCCGGGCUUCCAGAGCAUCAUAUCUUGACAUACUAUGAUUUGUGAGUAGUGGCGGUAAUUCACUUUUCACGAUGUUGUCAUUGUACGUUCAUCCAUAGUUAAUAGAAA